rnacentral:rRNA from 1 species
AAACGGAGAGACUAACAGGAUUCCCCUAGUAACUGCGAGUGAAGCGGGAAAAGCUCAAAUUUAAAAUCUGGCAGUCUCUGGCUGUCCGAGUUGUAAUCUAGAGAAGUAAUGCCCGUGCUGGACCGUGUAUAAGUCUCCUGGGAUGGGGCGUCAUAGAGGGUGAGAAUCCCGUCUUUGACACGGACUACCAGUGCAUUGUGGUAUGCUCUCAAAGAGUCGAGUUGUUUGGGAAUGCAGCUCAAAAUGGGUGGUAAAUUCCAUCUAAAGCUAAAUAUUGGCGAGAGACCGAUAGCGAACAAGUACCGUGAGGGAAAGAUGAAAAGAACUUUGGAAAGAGAGUUAAACAGUACGUGAAAUUGCUGAAAGGGAAACGCUUGAAGUCAGUCGCGUURGCUGGAAAUCAGCCUUGCUUUUGCAUGGUGUAUUUUCUGGUUGACGGGUCAGCAUCAAUUUUGACCGCUGGAAAAAGGCCUGGGGAAUGUGGCAGCUUCGGCUGUGUUAUAGCCCCUAGUCACAUACAGUGGUUGGGAUUGAGGAACUCAGCACGCCGCAAGGCCGGGUUUCGACCACGACCGUGCUUAGGAUGCUGGCAUAAUGGCUUUAAGCGACCCGUCUUGAAACACGGACCAAGGAGUCUAACAUGCCUGCGAGUAUUUGGGUGGAAAACUCAAGUGCGUAAUGAAAGUGAAAGUUGAGAUCCCUGUCGUGGGGAGCAUCGACGCCCGGACCAGAACUUUUGGGACGGAUCCGCGGUGGAGCAUGUAUGUUGGGACCCGAAAGAUGGUGAACUAUGCCUGAAUAGGGUGAAGCCAGAGGAAACUCUGGUGGAGGCUCGUAGCGAUUCUGACGUGCAAAUCGAUCGUCAAAUUUGGGUAUAGGGGCGAAAGACUAAUCGACCAUCUGUUGGCCAA